rnacentral:rRNA from 11 species
AGGUAGAGAAUACCAAGGCGCUUGAGAGAACUAUGUUGAAGGAACUCGGCAAAAUACCUCCGUAAGUUCGCGAGAAGGAGGCCCGGUUCCAAGGCAACUUGGAGCUGGGGGCACAAACCAGGGGGUGGCGACUGUUUACUAAAAACACAGGGCUCUGCGAAGUCGCAAGACGACGUAUAGGGACUGACGCCUGCCCGGUGCUGGAAGGUUAAGAGGAGAUGUCAUUCCUUCGGGGAGAAGCAUUGAAUUGAAGCCCCAGUAAACGGCGGCCG